rnacentral:rRNA from 1 species
AUGCAAGGCCCUAGCACCAGCAUCAAGUCCUUCAAGCAGGAGUUCCUCAAGAACCUCCUCCCAAGCCUCCAGCUCCAAGCACGCACGAGCACAACCUUCCGCGGCGCCACGAGCCUCCAUGAGAGGAAGCGCGCCAUCAAGUCCUCUGCGGACGUUGCCAUGUCGGCUGCGCAUGCCGGCGGAGCGAGGUGGCCCAAGGCCAUCUUGGCUCCGGCGUCCAGUGCGUGCAAGGUGCAGAGGUGCAGGAGGAUCGUGAGGAGGUGCUACCUCCGGAAGAGGUGCUCGGGGAGAUCAGGCCGCGCCGGUGGGUGGUGGCGACGUUGCGGGGAUGCUGGUGAAGAGCAGGACCAUGGCGCUGAGGGAGGUGAUACCGGGAGGCUGGAACUCCACCAUCGACGAGGCCACUCUGUUACGCGAGGCCAUGGACUACGCCGUGCACCUGCGCUCUCAGGUCGAUGUGCUCCGACGGCUCUCGGAAGCCGUGCAAACAUCUAG